AGGUAGGAGGAGCACAUAUCAUCAUCAUCACUUUGCAAAUACACAUAUUGUUGAUUUAAUAUUCUCCCCUUUAUAAUGUGGUUACAUGAUGUAAUUUUGUCCUCCAGGUUUCUCUUGCGGCGGCGGCCACCGGCACACCUUUUAGGGUUCAGGAGCGAAUGGCGACUCGUUGCAUGUUUUGGCUGCCGAAGAAGAAGAGAUUCUGUGCAAUUCCGCUGCUCUCUAAUUCCGACUUCUGCGGUAAUCACUCCAAAAGAUCCGAUGACGUCUGGAUUCUAUGCUUAAUCGAUCCAUCUCAUUUUGUCCUUGUUUAAAAUGCAUCAAGCAUCAUAAUGAAUGAUGCAGCUGGUGUGCGAUUCCAAGCUGGACGCCAAGCAGAGGUUCGCUUAUGUUAAUAGGAGGAUAAGAAGUUAAAUGCAACAUAUAUAAUUAGUGUUGCAAGAAAGCCUGGAUGCUCAAUCUUUUUUAUUGCCUGAGGACAUUCUUGAGGUUAACCCGAAGAUGAUUCUGAUCCUAACAGCAAGCAUAUCAUGUACUAGAGCUUGUUACAGAAGUCUAAAGGUGAUGAAGAAGAUGGGAACACGCCUGAAUAAGAGGGCAACGCGCCAGAACAAGAUGGGAACGCGCCUGAAGAAGAAGGCAGUGCACCUGAAGAAGAAGGCAACGUAGCCAUCCAUCGAUGAAGGAGACAUCUUAGCGAGAUGCAAGAAAAGACCACUGAAAGUGAAAACACUAAUGAAGGGUGGUGAGAUUAUGCUAGAACACGUUUAGUCUAUGACGCUAAGUCAGCGAAGAAGGGUGGCGAGAGGCAGUUCAACGGUUUAAUCAACGUUUACAAGAAGACAUACACAUCAGACGACA